GUCUCUCUGGUGCAAUUGGUGAGCGCAUUCAGCUGUGAACCAAAAGGUUGGUGGUUUGAGCCCACCCAGGGAUG
rnacentral:tRNA from 1 species